GGAGAAACUAAUUCUGCCUGGAAGGAGGUUUCUUUGAAGACCGGACACCCCUAAGACACCAAACAGACCUACUAAGAAGAUGGAGCAUAAUCAUUUUCUUCACUUGAUGUACAAAGUUAGAGCUAAAGAAGCCAGCAACCUGGAUACACCAAUGUGUACAGACAAAAGAGCCCCAACAAAAGCUUGCUCCCUCUAGUCAGAGAAGUAUGAAGACCUCAAGGUAGGAGAACUUGUUUCUAGUCCUGGCUCCGUCAUUAACAAAUUGCAACUUGGUAGACACUCUCUCAGCUCUUCAUUAUCAGCCAAUAGCUAAGUCCAGCAUUAUGAUUCCAAGUUGGAUGAAGAAAGAAGUUGUGUUUAAAGCAGUUUACUUUUCAUUGCUUAAAAUAGAAAUAAUUGCACACUGGAGAAUAUUUGAAA